UUGUUCCAGCGUCCUUCAAGACUGCCAGAAUAAAGCCUCUCCUCAAAAAACCAACUCUCAAUACCACCGACAUCCAGAACUACAGACCGUCAGGCUUCAAGAAGGCACACUCCACUGAGACGGCUCUCCUCGCGGUGACUGAGUCCCUCCUUGCUGCCAGAGCCUCGUCCCUAUCAUCGGUUCUCAUUCUCCAGCAUUUGACAAGCCCUGAUUGCAACACGCAUAUCGGAAUGUCUGGCACCUGGACAACUGCCC